rnacentral:lncRNA from 1 species
AAGCACAGAUUUUAUUAUUAAAUAUUUGAGCCUUGAUCAGAAUCCUGUCUUGGUUCUCUCUCUCUCUCUCUCUCUCUCUCUCUCUCUCUCUCUCUCUCUCUCUCUCUCAUCUGCCUAGUUUCCCUUUCUUUCAGCUCCAAGAUGCCUCCCAGGUUCUAACCCAAACAUGAGAACCACAGGCCGGCCCCAACACCCAAAGAGCAAAACAAAGAUAGAAGCCAACUGAUGUUGU